rnacentral:rRNA from 1 species
AGGGUGUAAACGCUGCAGACUUGGUGUUGGGGGCCCUUUCGGGGGCGAUUCAGUGCCGGAGAGAAGUUGUUAAGUCUGCUACUUGGGGAGUACGUCCGCAAGGAUGAAACUUAAAGGAAUUGGCGGGGGAGCACCGCAACGGGAGGAGCGUGCGGUUUAAUUGGAUUCAACACCGUAAAACUCACCAGGGAAGACUGUUACAUGAAGGCCGAGAUGAAGACUCUGCUAGAUUUUCAGAGAGGAGGUGCAUGGCGUCAGUGACU